rnacentral:rRNA from 1 species
UACGUAGGGUGCGAGCGUUGUCCGGAAUUAUUGGGCGUAAAGAGCUCGUAGGCGGUCUGUCGCGCGGUCGUGAAAACUUGGGGCUUAACCCUGAGCUUGCGGUCGAUACGGGCAUGACUGGAGUUCGGCAGGGGAGACUGGAAUUCCUGGUGUAGCGGUGAAAUGCGUAGAUAUCAGGAGGAACACCUGUGGCGAAAGCGGCUCACUGGACCACUACUACGCUGAUGCACGAAAGCCUAAGGGGGAGCAA